AGGGUCGUGGUGUAGGUACGACUGUUUCUCAUAAUUAGAUAUUUUCAUCUUGCAGGGAGGCAAUUCUGUGCAAAGUUUGUGUUAACAAUGAGAACUGUACUUAUUAACUAAAACCUCGCCUAAAGCAUUGAUUUGAUGAUAGGCCAUUCUUGAAUUGCUCAUAUCUAUGGAUUGCAUAACUAAAAUUAUUUCUGGUUUUAGUAGUAAUGUAUCAGUAGCAAGAAAUAUUUAUGCUUACGGUUACCUAUGUUUUGUAUAACAUGCUGAUAAAAAUAUUUGACUUGUUUUUGGAGUCAGCAACUGCCAAAUUUCUUGUGUCAAUUGUGUUUCUAGCAUUUAAAGCCAAGUUUGAUUUCGAUUUUUGGCAGGACCUUUGAAGGACCAUAUCU
rnacentral:misc_RNA from 1 species